CCUACGGGUGGCAGCAGUGAGGAAUAUUGGUCAAUGGGCGCGAGCCUGAACCAGCCAAGUAGCGUGAAGGAUGAAGGCCCUACGGGUUGUAAACUUCUUUUAUCAAGGAACAAAGUGUGGCUCGUGUGCCUUAUCGUAUGUACUUUAUGAAAAAGCAUCGGCUAACUCCGUGCCAGCAGCCGCGGUAAUACGGAGGAUCCGAGCGUUAUCCGGAUUUAUUGGGUUUAAAGGGUGCGUAGGUGGGUUGUUAAGCCAGUUGUGAAAGUUCGCGACUCAACCGUAAGAUUGCAAUUGAUACUGGCAGUCGUGAGUACAGUUGAGGUAGGCGGAAUGCGUGGUGUAGCGGUGAAAUGCUUAGAUAUCACGAAGAACCCCGAUUGCGAAGGCAGCUUACUAAACUGCCACUGACAUUGAUGCUCGAAAGUGUGGGUAUCAAACAGGAUUAGAUACCCGAGUAGUC
rnacentral:rRNA from 1 species